CCUACGGGAGGCAGCAGUGAGGAAUAUUGGUCAAUGGCCGGAAGGCUGAACCAGCCAUGCCGCGUGAAGGUCAGUGCCCUAUGGGCGUUAAACUUCUUUUGUGCGGGAGCAAUAAUGGUAACGUGUGGCCAGACGAGAGUACCGUACGAAUAAGCAUCGGCUAACUCCGUGCCAGCAGCCGCGGUAAUACGGGGGAUGCAAGCGUUAUCCGGAUUUAUUGGGUUUAAAGGGUGCGUAGGCUGUGAGGUAAGUCAGCGGGGAAAUGCCCCCGCUCAACGGGGUGAAGUGCCAUUGAUACUGCCUUGCUGGAAUGCGGAUGCCGUGGGAGGAAUGCGCAGUGUAGCGGUGAAAUGCUUAGAUAUUGCGCAGAACUCCGAUUGCGAAGGCAGCAUACCGGCGGCGAUCUGACGCUGAGGCACGAAAGCGUGGGUAUCGAACAGGAUUAGAUACCCGAGUAGUC
rnacentral:rRNA from 1 species